UACCAGCACCCCGAGUGGUCGGGACGAUUAUUGGGCCUAAAGCAUCCGUAGCCGGUUUUACAAGUCCCCCGUUAAAUCCAACUGCUUAACAGAUGGGCCGCGGAGGAUACUAUAAGACUAGGAGGCAGGAGAGGCAAGCGGUACUCAGUGGGUAGGGGUAAAAUCCGUUGAUCCAUUGAAGACCACCAGUGGCGAAGGCGGCUUGCCAGAAUG
rnacentral:rRNA from 1 species